rnacentral:misc_RNA from 1 species
GCAGAUAGGAGAUGCAUUUUUGGAGAUGAUAUUUAUUGCUUGCUUCUUAGUUUUUUUUUCUUUGCCUGCCUUUUCUAGUUAGAUUGUUUUUUUUGCACAAAAACACACAAGAUGGUUGCCUUUGGAGUUAGAAGAUUGUCAUUUAAAAUGAGGCAUUCUAGAAAGGUUAUGAAAUUGACGGCAUGUUUUGCAUGUUCUGCAUAUAAUGAAGUCCCGAUGGUGCAAGUUAUCCCUUUAGGAGAAUGUUUGCAAACUAGGUGGACUUUUUCCCAGUGGACCAUCAUGAAAAGAACUUGUUUUGCUUCUGAUACCUUUCUUCUUACUCCAUGACCAUGACUCGUUUUUGGAUUGUUACUCUUUUAUGUUUUCAAUGCUUGAUUGUAUUCUAAUUGAGUGCAUUUUAUAGCCUGUUUAUUAGUA